GAUGAACGCUGGCGGCGUGCCUAAUACAUGCAAGUCGAGCGAACAGACGAGGAGCUUGCUCCUCUGACGUUAGCGGCGGACGGGUGAGUAACACGUGGAUAACCUACCUAUAAGACUGGGAUAACUUCGGGAAACCGGAGCUAAUACCGGAUAAUAUAUUGAACCGCAUGGUUCAAUAGUGAAAGACGGUUUUGCUGUCACUUAUAGAUGGAUCCGCGCCGCAUUAGCUAGUUGGUAAGGUAACGGCUUACCAAGGCAACGAUGCGUAGCCGACCUGAGAGGGUGAUCGGCCACACUGGAACUGAGACACGGUCCAGACUCCUACGGGAGGCAGCAGUAGGGAAUCCUCCGCAAUGGGCGAAAGCCUGACGGAGCAACGCCGCGUGAGUGAUGAAGGUCUUCGGAUCGCAAAACUCUGUUAUUAGGGAAGAACAAAUGUGUAAGUAACUAUGCACGUCUUGACGGUACCUAAUCAGAAAGCCACGGCUAACUACGUG
rnacentral:rRNA from 1 species